rnacentral:rRNA from 1 species
GAGUUUGAUCCUGGCUCAGGACGAACGCUGGCGGUGCGCCUUAUGCAUGCAAGUUGAGCGAAGCUUUUUGGUAGUUUACUACUAGAAAUGACUGAGCGGCGAACGGGUGAGUAACGCGUGAGCAAUCUACCUUAGCUACUGGGAUAGCCCGAGGAAACUCGGAUUAAUACCGGAUAUUCUUAUUCUUUCACAUGAAGUUUUAAGGAAAGGUCAGCCGAACUAAGAUGAGCUCGCGUUCUAUCAGCUAGUUGGUGGGGUAAAAGCCUACCUAGGCUACGACGGAUAGCUGGUCUGAGAGGACGAUCAGCCACACUGGGACUGAGACACGGCCCAGACUCCUACGGGAGGCUGCAGCAGGGAAUAUUGUGCAAUGAGCGAAAGCUUGACACAGCGACACCGCGUGUGGGAUGACGGUUCUAGGAUUGUAAACCACUUUCAGGAGGGAAGAAAAUGACGGUACCUCCACAAGAAGACCCGGCCAACUAUGUGCCAGCAGCCGCGGUAAUACAUAGGGGUCAAGCGUUGUCCGGAUUUAUUGGGCGUAAAGAGCUCGUAGGCGGUUCAACAAGUCGGUCGUAAAAGUUUAGGGCUCAACCCUAAAAUGUCGAUCGAUACUGUUGUGACUAGGAUACGGUAGAGGUGAAUGGAAUUCCGAGUGUAGCGGUGAAAUGCGUAGAUAUUCGGAGGAACACCAAUUGCGAAGGCAGUUCACUGGACCGUGAUCGACGCUGAGGAGCGAAAGCUAGGGGAGCAAACAGGAUUAGAUACCCUGGUAGUCCUAGCUGUAAACGAUGGAUACUAGAUGUAGGAACUGGAUUGACGGUUUCUGUAUCGUAGCUAACGCGUUAAGUAUCCCGCCUGGGGAGUACGGUCGCAAGACUAAAACUCAAAGGAAUUGACGGGACCCCGCACAAGCGGCGGAGCAUGCGGCUUAAUUCGAUGAUACCCGUAGAACCUUACCUGGACUUGACAUAUAGGGAAAAACUGGAGAAAUCCAGUGUGCGUAAGCGCCCUAUACAGGUGGUGCAUGGCUGUCGUCAGCUCGUGUCGUGAGAUGUUGGGUUAAGUCCCGCAACGAGCGCAACCCCUGUCCUAUGUUGCCAGCAAGUAAUGUUGGGGACUCAUAGGAGACUGCCGGUGAUAAACCGGAGGAAGGUGGGGACGACGUCAAGUCAUCAUGCCCCUUAUGUCCAGGGCUGCACGCAUGCUACAAUGGCAAGUACAACGAGUCGCAAUACCGCGAGGUGGAGCAAAUCUCUUAAAGCUUGUCUCAGUUCGGAUAGGAGUCUGCAACUCGACUCCUUGAAGUUGGAGUCGCUAGUAAUCGCAAAUCAGCAAAGUUGCGGUGAAUACGUUCUCGGGGUUUGUACACACCGCCCGUCAAGUCACGGAAGUCGGCAAUACGCGAAGCCAGUGGUCUAACCCUUUGGGGAAGAAGCUGUCGAACGUAGGGUUAGUAACUGGGACUAAGUCGUAACAAGGUAACC